CCGGAUUGCUGCUCUGCCCCGUAGCUCUAGGGCGCGCGCGUUCUCAAAGGGGAGGAGGGGCGGCAGGUAAAUCCUCCCCACCCACGUGGAUGUUGCAGGAAAGGAAAGGAGGAUCGGGAGCGAGCACAAAGAGGCAGUGUCAGAGUGACUGACAAGCUGAGAUACAAUCCAUCAGCAUCCGAUGACAGCGACUGCAUGAAUCUUCCCAGUCAAAGGACCCAUUUUCUUGAUAGACAGUGCCUGUGGCUGGAGGCUCUACACAGGUGUGCCUGUGCAGGCCAAAGACUGCCAGUAUUAGCACAGGUGAGGUGUGUGACCUUCCCAAAUUUACAGACUGUAUGUAAAUGAGAAGUUGUGGGUGGGAUUAUAUUUUACACAGCAACCCUGUGAUUUUCUCCACCCAUAACAUUUCAUGAGCUGAUAUUGCAGUACAAAUUCCAAAAUAACUACAAAAAACCCCACAAGAUAAUAAUAAUAAUUGUAGUAUUUAUACCCCGCCCAUCUGGUUGGGUUUCCCCAGCCACUCUGGCCAGCUUCCAGUACAUAUAAAAGACAGGAAAACAUUAAACAUUAAAAACCUCCUGACACAAGGCUGCCUUCUCCUGUCUUCUAAAUGUCAGGUAGUUGUUCAUUUCCUUGACCCCUGAAGGGAGGGGGUUCCACAGGGCAGGCACCACCACCGAGAAGGCCCUCUGCCUGGUUCCCUGUAACCUCACUUAUCACAGAGAGGGGCCAGCAGAAGACCCUCAGAGGAGGACCUCAGGGAUCAGAGUGAAGGA
rnacentral:lncRNA from 1 species